CGGAGGGGCUAGCGUUGUUCGGAAUUACUGGGCGUAAAGCGCACGUAGGCGGACCGGAAGUACAGGAGGUAGAAACGUCCCAGGGCUCAACCUUGGAACUGACCUUUGAACUAUCGGUCUGGAGUUCGAGAGAGGUGAGUGGAAUUCCGAGUGUAGAGGUAGAAAUUCGUAGAUAUUCGGAGGAACACCAGUGGCGAAGGCGGCUCACUGGCUCGAUACUGACGCUGAGGUGCGAAAGCGUGGGGAGACAAACAGGAUU
rnacentral:rRNA from 1 species